rnacentral:rRNA from 1 species
CCUACGGGAGGCUGCAGUAGGGAAUAUUGGACAAUGGGUGCGAGCCUGAUCCAGCCAUGCCGCGUGCAGGAAGAAGGCGUUAUGCGUUGUAAACUGCUUUUGCCAGGGGAUAAAAUAACUGUGCGCAGUUGAUUGAAGGUACCUGGUGAAUAAGCCACGGCUAACUACGUGCCAGCAGCCGCGGUAAUACGUAGGUGGCAAGCGUUGUCCGGAUUUAUAGGGUGUAGAGGGUGCCCAGUCAGCCAGUGGAGAAAUAUCUCAGCGUAACUGAGAGGGUGCCAUUGAUACUGCGGGGCUUGAGUACAGAUGAGGUAGGCGGAAUUGACGGUGUAGCGGUGAAAUGCAUAGAUAUCGUCAAGAACACCGAUAGCGAAGGCAGCUUACCAAGCUGUAACUGACGCUGAGGCACGAAAGUGUGGGGAUCAAACAGGAUUAGAUACCCUAGUAGUC